GUUAGAGUUAUACUCUAAAGAUCAUCAUUUACAAAAAAUUACUUGGCACCAUGAAGGGUCAAUUAGCUCAUUCAAGAUUAAACCAAGAAUGAAGGGUACCAUCUCCUAACUCCUUGGUUCAACUGGGAUGAAGGUAUUGCCUCCAGAGGUUAAUAUAUAGCCAGUGUCUAAAAUGUUCUGUCGUUUUAUUUUCAUGGAGGAUGGAUUUUUGAAAAUUAAGUCCACUGAGCAAAGCUGGAAGUAUACAAAGCCUCCAGCACUGCCCAUGAUGUCAACACAGAGCGAGGGAUGAGCAUAAGAAAGAAGAAGGAAAGGAAAGGAAGAAAGAAAGUCUGUGAAUGGCCCCACUUACCAGGCCUAUGAAGAUGCAGAAAAGCUGAACUACAUCCGUGUAGGCCACGGAGUACAGACCACCCACCAGUGUGUAGAGAGUGGCAAUGAGCGCAGAAACAAUGACAGAAGCUUGCACAUCAACGUCAAUGAUCACGCUGAUGGUGGCUCCUGAAGAAAGCAGACAAGAGAAUGCUAUGGUCAAGGUACUCAAAUGGAUUCCACUUUCUGUUCAAGGAUACAUUGAAUGUUCAGUACCAGAAGGUAGUGCCUCUGUGUCAUGUGAAAUGUAUUGGAUGAUAACAGCCAAAGUGAGUUGUCAUAUCAAAAUCUUAAAAUCUAUAAUAUAUUCUUCCUUCCUGAAAUUGGCACUUUGGUAACUUAUAUAGGUGGGAGCACCCAAAAUUGAUGAUAUGACCUCAGAAUUCCAUGAAAUAUAUUAAAUUUAAUACCAUUAUAAGAACUUUCAAGGGCACCUGGGUGGCUCAGUUGGUUAACCAUCCAACUUUUGGUUUCAGUUCAGGUCAUGAUCUCAUGGUUGGUGAGUUCAAGCCCUGCGUGGGCUGGCAGUGUGGAGCCUGCUUGGGAUUCUCUGUCUCUUUCUCUCUCUCUCUUUGCCCCUCCCCUGCUUGCACUAUCUCUGUCUCUCUCAAAAUAAAUAGACUUAAAAGAAAAAGAACUUACAAUAAUUUUACUAGCUAUCCGAAACAGACUUUAAUUAAAUAUAUGCAAUGUAGUUACUCAUAUUCAUGAGAUAAGCACAAUCACCCACUUCCACAUUUUACAAUUAAUGUUCAUUUUCCAUUUUGCAUUAACUCUGACCCCUGCUAGCUUUUCUUAGAUGACAGAUGGUAUAAAGUGCCAAGGUUUAAGACAACAUUGUAGGAGAAAGUAAUAAAAGUGGUAAAUUUAAUCCAGUCCUACUGCUAGGACACAAACGUAUUGAAGAACCCUA